AAGGUGGGGAUGACGUCAGAUCAUCAUGCCCCUUACGUCCAGGGCUUCACGCAUGCUACAAUGGCCGGUACAACGGGAUGCGACAGCGCGAGCUGGAGCGGAUCCCUGAAAACCGGUCUCAGUUCGGAUCGCAGUCUGCAACUCGACUGCGUGAAGGCGGAGUCGCUAGUAAUCGCGAAUCAGCAACGUCGCGGUGAAUGCGUUCCCGGGCCUUGUACACACCGCCCGUCAAGUCAUGAAAGUGGGCAGCACCCGAAGCCGGUGGCCUAACCCCUUGCGGGAGGGAGCCGUCUAAGGUGAGGCUCGUGAUUGGGACUAAGUCGUAACAAGGUAGCCGUACCGGAAGGUGCGGCUGGAUCACCUCCUUU
rnacentral:rRNA from 1 species